CGGACGGGUGAGUAACGCGUGGGUGACCUGCCCCAUACCGGGGGAUAACAGCUGGAAACGGCUGCUAAUACCGCAUAAGCGCACAGAGCUGCAUGGCUCGGUGUGAAAAACUCCGGUGGUAUGGGAUGGGCCCGCGUCUGAUUAGGCAGUUGGCGGGGUAACGGCCCACCAAGCCGACGAUCAGUAGCCGACCUGAGAGGGUGACCGGCCACAUUGGGACUGAGACACGGCCCAG
rnacentral:rRNA from 1 species